UACAGAGGGUGCGAGCGUUGUCCGGAAUUACUGGGCGUAAAGAGCGCGCAGGCGGUCGUGCAAGUCGCGUGUGAAAGCCCCCGGCUCAACUGGGGAGGGUCACGCGAUACUGCUCGACUCGAAGGCAGGAGAGGGAAGUGGAAUUCCCGGUGUAGUGGUGAAAUGCGUAGAUAUCGGGAGGAACACCAGUGGCGAAGGCGACUUCCUGGCCUGUUCUUGACGCUGAGGCGCGAAAGCUAGGGUAGCAAACGGG
rnacentral:rRNA from 1 species